GAUGAACGCUGGCGGCGGGCUUAACACAUGCAAGUCGAGGGGAAAGCCCUUUUGGGGGCGGAACCCGCGGCGCGGGUGGGUAAGUAGCACGCAACUAACCUUCCCCGGGGGGUUGGCCAAAUGAAGUUUGGUUAAUUACCCAUCAUAUUGUUGGGAUGGCUCCAUUGUGUAUUUAAAAAAGGGUGGGUGAAGGUUGGGCAUGGGUCCUAUUAGCAGUUUGGAGUGGUAACGGAACCCCAAGCCUACGAUAGGUAGGGGUCCUGCGAGGGAGGUCCCCAACAGUGGUACGGAGACAGUGACCAGAAGCCUACGGGAGGCAGCAGUGAGGAAUAUUGGUCAAUGGUCGGAAGACUGAACCAGCCAUGCCGCGUGCAGGAAGAAUGCCUUAUGGGUUGUAAACUGCUUUUAUAUGGGAAGAAUAAGGAGUACGUGUACGUUGAUGACGGUACCAUAUGAAUAAGCAUCGGCUAACUCCGUG
rnacentral:rRNA from 1 species